rnacentral:misc_RNA from 1 species
UUUAGUGCAGAGUUCUAUUGAC